rnacentral:rRNA from 1 species
UACGUAGGGUGCAAGCGUUAAUCGGAAUUACUGGGCGUAAAGCGUGCGCAGGCGGUUAUGUAAGACAGUUGUGAAAUCCCCGGGCUCAACCUGGGAAUUGCAUCUGUGACUGCAUAGCUAGAGUACGGUAGAGGGGAUGGAAUUCCGCGUGUAGCAGUGAAAUGCGUAGAUAUGCGGAGGAACACCGAUGGCGAAGGCAAUCCCCUGGACCUGUACUGACGCUCAUGCACCGAAAGCGUGGGGAGCAAACGAGG